rnacentral:rRNA from 1 species
AUGGCGAGGCACUUCACGCUCAACACCGGCGCUGAGAUCCCCUCGGUGGGGUACGGCACCUGGCAGUCCAAGCCGGAUGAGGUCGGCCGCUCCGUUUACGCUGCCGUCAUGGCAGGGUAUCGACACAUCGAUUGUGCUAGGGCUUACCGCAACGAAAAGGAGGUUGGUUUGGCACUGCAAAAGCUAUUCGAAGAGGGUGUGGUGAAACGGGAAGAUUUGUUUAUCACCUCUAAGCUAUGGCAUGAUCAUCAUGCUCCAGAAGAUGUGCCGGAGUCGCUUGACAGAAGUCUGCAUGACUUGCAGCUUGAGUACUUGGAUCUUUACCUUAUCCAUUGGCCAUUUAGGCUCAAGAAGGGCACCAACGCAAGCAACCCUGAAAACUUUGUACUACCUGACAUCCCUGCGACUUGGGGAGCAAUGGAAAAGUUAUAUGAUGCUGGAAAAGCUCGUGCAAUAGGUGUGAGUAACUUCUCAACAAAGAAAUUGGGUGACUUGCUUGUUGUAGCUCGUGUACGUCCUGCUGUUAAUCAGGUGGAAUGUCAUCCGGGUUGGCAGCAAAGUAAGCUCCACAACUUUUGUCAGUCAACCGGUAUUCAUCUUUCUGCAUACUCACCACUAGGUUCACCUGGUACACCUUGGAUGAACAGUAAUGUCCUCGAAGAACCUGUCAUCACCUUAAUAGCGAAUAAACUUGGGAAAACUCCUGCACAGGUGGCCCUGUGCUGGAACAUUCAGAUGGGUCAUAGUGUACUACCAAAGAGCCUGAAUGAGGAAAGGAUAAAGCAAAAUCUUGAUGUUUAUGAUUGGUCUAUUCCAGAUGACUUGCUUGCGAUGUUAACCGACAUUAAGCAGGUAAGGCAGUUCAGAGGUGACUUCACCGUUAAUCCACAAAGCGUCUACAAGACCCACGAGGAGCUCUGGGAUGGGGAAGUUUAG